rnacentral:tRNA from 1 species
GCAGGUAUGGACGAGAUCGCGCCGCUGCUGACGGCGUAGUGUGCGAGGUUCUGAAAUCUCUUCCCGUC